rnacentral:misc_RNA from 1 species
AUUAUCUUCACGCAGAACAAAAGAAAACAAAAUCAUAGAAAAAGAAGUUGGGAAUUCAAAUCGAAUUUUUUGCGUAUCUGUUCUUGAUGCGUAUGAAUAAAAUACUUCAACAGCCCUGAUGAGAAUUUAGUUUAUGGUAAUUUGGUUUUACGUUUCUGCAAGGUUAAUAACGUGUAUGUUAAUUUUCUGGUACAGGACAGCUCUAGCGUUGGGUGGUUGAGGUUGAUCAGUGGGUAGGUAGGCGAGGCUAUGGCCUGGAUGUUUCAUUUCCUCAAGCGCUGGCGAGUGGCCGUGAUUACGAAUUAUCUACCAUGCUGCAAGAAAGAGACCAGCUAGAAUUUCGUGGCAGUAGAUUUCACCUUGAGUGCAUGCCGUCACAUCCUCAGCUACUCUUCACCGAAUCACGCCGAAAAAAGAUCGACGUUCUAUUUCAAAGAUGGAUGUUUUGUUGUCAUUGAAACUGGUAGUGGCGACGAUCCUUUUUCUGACAAGUUUCGCUUCCUCAGAAUAAAAAUUAUCUGACCCUGUGAGCUGAUCCCACCUCAUCUGAUAUUCGCGAAGAUAAACCGCUGCCAAUUAAAAUUUCCUCCAUGCAGUACGGCUCGGUAAAUGUCAGUAUUUACGAUAGUCAAACAACUUCAGGCCACAAAAAAAUCUAUUUCUUCUCGCCAAUCGCUCUGCUAAGUCAUCUGAAUGUCGUUUCUAUUCACGAUCCAACGGCCACUCAGGGAAUUCUCAGCGUCAGUUUUUCAAUUUGGAAUCAAGACGUCAGAAAAAAAGUGGCCGAACACCUCAAGCAAUUCCUCAGUCAAGAAAUCGAGCUCAGUCAAGUGCAAGUCCUUCCUUUCAACAGUGCCAGGUUGACAAGCAAAGUACAAUCUGCUGAUUUCUCAUUGAACAAUGAGUGGGUUUUGAAUGACAACAAGCCAUCACUCAGGUUUACCUUGAUCUGCCCGACACGGGAACAUUGCGAUCGAGUGAAGACUGAAAUGCGCAUCAAUCCCAAACAAUUUGAACAUUUGCAACUUGAUUUCAAACCUCAAUUUAACGAUGGUAUGGGGGGUUGGCAACUCCCCAGAAUCUUCGUACACCCUGGUCCGCCCUGGCCAGAAUCUCCCUAUCUCUCCUCUCAUAGAAUCUUUCGGAAUCUCUAGAAUCUCUCUAGAAUCCCGAAUCUUCGUACACCCAAGUUGUGAGUUGCCAACCCCCGCCAAGAGUAAACCAAAGUAAUUUGUUUUCCAUUUCAGAAACUAAAAAGGAUUCACACGUAUUGGCAGAUAAAAUCAAAGUUGCGGAAGAAAAUCUGGCAGUGAGUUUGGAAAAUUUAAAAAUGACGAAAAACGAAUUAAUAGAAACGAAGAUAAUCGUUGAAGAAUUGUCGGCAAAAUUAAAUGCCAGAUUGAGUGAAAUAGUUGACAUUGGUCAAAUGCCAGCCUCAUGUUCAGAUCUGCAGCGAAUAGGGCAUAAACUGAGCGCGGAUUCUUUUUAGUGAAAGGAUCGAAGAAGAUGGAGACUGUUUGCUGCAACUUUUAUCCUAAUGGAAAUGAUUUGCAGAGAAGAAUCGGAUACGCCGACGUCAAAUCAGCGCCCGUUCAUUUCUACGUACAGAGAGAAUCAAAAUUUUCUACACUUGACACUCCGAUUCCUUUCGAUUUGGCGGUGGUGAACGAAGGAAACGCUAUGGAUUUGACGUCAGGAACAUUCACGGCACCCCGCAAGGGAAUUUAUUUCUUUUCAUUCACGGGACAGGCGAUAUUUCCGGCUUCAUCGUCUAAAGUUUGGUUAGGAGUUUUUUUUCGUGUGAAUGGGAAUCGAAUCGGAUUGGGUUACGUUGAAGAGGCAAACACCAUCGAUAAUCAACGAACUCCGUUGACCUUCCAGUCGACGCUGAAAUUGAAUAAAGGCGAUCGACUCUGGUUGGAAAUUAGCAUUAAAUCAGGGGUGAGGAUGUUUGACGACAGUGACCACCACACCCAUUUCACCGGUUUCCUGUUGGAGGAGGAAAUUGUAGCAUCCCUUUAAGUGGUUUUCAUCCGAAAUGCACAAAAUGAUAACCGACUGACAUUCCACACGAAAAUGAAUUUUUAAUUGGAUGUGAAAAGGUGAAUGGAAAUAAAUUCUUUCGAUUCUA